rnacentral:misc_RNA from 1 species
UCCGAGUUGACCCCGGCAGUCUCCUAUGAGUCCCCGGCAUUAUCCGCUGGCAACAUCGGACAAGGGUUGCGCUCGUUGCGGGACUUAACCCAACAUCUCACGACACGAGCUGACGACAGCCAUGCACCACCUGUGACCGCCCCCGAAGGACCCCGCAUCUCUGCGAGUUUUGCGGCCAUGUCAAACCCAGGUAAGGUUCUUCGCGUUGCAUCGAAUUAAUCCGCAUGCUCCGCCGCUUGGGCGGGCCCCCAUCAAUUCCUUUGAGUUUUAACCUUGCGGCCGUACUCCCCAGGCGGAUAACUUAAUGCGUUAGCUGCGCCACCGAAAGCCUAAGGCCCCCGACAGCUAGUUAUAAUCGUUUACGGCGUGGACUAC